rnacentral:rRNA from 1 species
UGGGGAAUUGUUCGCAAUGGGCGCAAGCCUGACGACGCAACGCCGCGUGGAGGAUGAAGAUCUUCGGGUCGUAAACUCCUUUCGAUCGAGACGAAUUUCCUUGGGGUGAACACUCCCGAGGAGUGACGGUACCGAGAGAAGAAGCCCCGGCUAACUCCGUGCCAGCAGCCGCGGUAAUACGGGGGGGGCAAGCGUUGUUCGGAAUUACUGGGCGUAAAGGGCUCGUAGGUGGCCAACUAAGUCAGACGUGAAAUCCCUCGGCUUAACCGGGGAACUGCGUCUGAUACUGGAUGGCUUGAGUUUGGGAGAGGGACGCGGAAUUCCAGGUGUAGCGGUGAAAUGCGUAGAUAUCUGGAGGAACACCGGUGGCGAAGGCGGCGUCCUGGACCAAUACUGACACUGAGGAGCGAAAGCCAGGGGAGCAAACGGGAUUAGAUACCCCCGUAGUCC